UUGACAGUUUGGCUUCCCUGUUCUGGGUGGCAAAGCCUGUGGAGUACUCACCUACCUGCUGCAUGAAGGCAGCAUGGAGGGACUGUGGUGGAUUAUCUGCAAAGAUGGCCAAAAUUCUCUCAUCCCUGCAGGCACAUACAAGCCAGGUUUCCAGAAGUUCCCCAGUCAUUGAGCAUUUCUGAGGCUCUUGAUGCAUAUGCCAAGUAGUUAUGGAGAAAGACACAGCAGCUUACCUCUGCAGGCAUCAUUGUGUGAAAGGAAGACCCAGGCUCUCUCACCACCCUUCAACAGAAGCCUUUUGCUAAGGUGAUAGCUACAUGUCCAAGCCUAUUGCGUGGCAUGCAUUUUGCCUUCUGCAGCCCACUAAAGGUACACAAACACCAUUAGCCAAUCUGAAAAAAAAAUUGAUGUCUAACUGGUUAUUAUUUCCUAGCAAGUGUUCCGCAAGUUGGGAAAUUGAGGUAUACGGAAUGCUUAUUUGGUUUACUCAGUAUCAUCCUAAAUGUAUGUACCAAUGCUUAGGAGUUUGCAGUUCACCCGCAAACCUCAGCGAUCCAAGCUCCCCUGGAUGACCAUCACUCACCAAGAAAAGAACAAUAACAGGACCUGUUUUGCUAAUCCAGGACUGUUCUCCAGCACUAACUCUAAAUAAUCCCUUCUGCUAGAGUCCACUUUCUGGAACCUGUUGCCUCCGUUUUCAACG
rnacentral:lncRNA from 1 species